GAUGAAGAACGCAGCGAAAUGCGAUAAGUAAUGCGAAUUGCAGAAUUCAGUGAAUCAUCGAAUCUUUGAACGCACAUUGCGCCCGCCAGUAUUCUGGCGGGCAUGCCUGUCUGAGCGUCGUUUCGACCCUCGCGCCCGGCUUCUGUCGGGGGUGGUGUUGGGGAUCGGCCACACCCUUCAGUGGGAGGCCGGCCCCUAAAUUCAGUGGCGACCACGCUGUAGCCUCCCCUGCGUAGUACUAAAACCACCUCGCAGGCGGAGAGCGGUGCGGCCCGCCGUAAAACCCCCCAACUUUUACAAGGUCGACCUCAGAUCAGGUAGGAAUACCCGCUGAACUUAAGCAUAUCAAUAAGCGGAGGA
rnacentral:misc_RNA from 1 species